GAGGGCCUCCGAGAGCAAACUUGUGUGUGUGUGUGGGCAUCAUCAGCCACAAUGAGCAUUCUCAAGGUGUUCACCGUUGCCCUUGUGCUGUUUGGAACCAGCUGUCUUUCUGCUAAGAU